GUUAGGGUUUUACUGCUUGAACAGACGCCAUGACCAAGGCAAGUCUUGUAAAGGAAAACCUUUAACUGGGGCUGGUUUACAGGUCCAGAGGUUCAGUCCAUUGUCAUCAAGGCAGGAACAUGGCAGCAUCCAGGCAAGCAUGGUGCAGGAGGAGCUGAGAGUUCUACAUCUUCAUCGGAAGGCUGCUAUCAGAAUACUGACUUCCAGGUAGUUAGGGCAAGGGUCUUGGAGCCCACACCCACAGUGACACACCUACUUUAACAAGGCCCUACCCACUCCAACAAGGCCACACCUACCCCAACAAGGCCACACAUACUCCAAUAGAGCCACACCUACUCCAACAGGGCCACACUUUCUAAUAAUGUCACUCCCCGGGCUGAGCAUAUACACACCACCAUACUUCUCUAUGAAGCUCCUGGUCUGUUCGCUGUGUUUUAUUCUCACUGUUUACUUUCUUAAAGGCUUUUGUUCUCAUUCUCAAUGACUGUCAUAGCAACACAUUCUCAAUGACUGUCAUAGCAACACUUCAAUUGUUGAAGUAAACAUCAUUUGGGGAAAACACUCCCAAAGAGAAUGACCUUUAUCUCCUUUGAUUCCUUUGAUCCCCAUCAUCAGAAGUUUUCAGCCUGAUGUCUGGGAUCAGGUGCUUGAACUAGCCAAUUCUCAUGGGGGGGACAUGAGAAGUGGAAGCAAGGAGGAAUUCUGAGCUUACCAGGAAGGAUCAAGGGCCAGCCUGACACUCAGCCAGGAUGGUACCCUCUUUCGGAGAGAGACUAGAACACCGAGACCUUGACAUUCCAUUCCCAAGAGAUGAUGCCUGUAAGUUAUAAGAAAAAGAAAAAGUACACGCUAUUCUUCAGUGCCCACUGUCUGCCUUGCCAGCAGAGUUGUUUUGUGCUUGCUUCUUUGCUCUCAUCCCCACCUUGAAGAAGAGAGGAAAAUCUGUCCCUGGCUGGCAUGACUGCGAGAGGCCAGAGACAUGUCACAUCCACACUAGCCCGUGAAGGGUCUCUUUAGUCAGCCUCACUUCACCGGGAGACGAUUGGACAGUGGCAGAUAAACAAGUGGGGAAAGAUUCCAGAAGAAAGUUUGUUCAUGAACUAAGAGUCAGUGUAGAUCGUAAUCCAGGAUAACCUAAAACAGAAAAUGAAGAGAUAGGUCAAACCAAUACCAAAUGCAAGUGCAAGUGAUGUGAAUUAAUCUGCAUCCUGUUUAAAAAAAAAAAAUUAAAGUUUGGCUUUAAGGUCCUCCAAGUACAUACUAUCUGAACAACAGCAAGG
rnacentral:lncRNA from 1 species